rnacentral:rRNA from 1 species
GAGUUUGAUCAUGGCUCAGAGUGAACGCUGGCGGCAGGCCUAACACAUGCAAGUCGAACGGCAGCGGGUCAGUAGCAAUACUGAUGCCGGCGAGUGGCGGACGGGUGAGGAAUACAUCGGAAUCUACCUUGUCGUGGGGGAUAACGUAGGGAAACUUACGCUAAUACCGCAUACGACCUACGGGUGAAAGCGGCGGACCGCAAGGCGUCGCGCGAUUGGAUGAGCCGAUGUCCGAUUAGCUAGUUGGCGGGGUAAAGGCCCACCAAGGCGACGAUCGGUAGCUGGUCUGAGAGGAUGAUCGGCCACACUGGAACUGAGACACGGUCCAGACUCCUACGGGAGGCAGCAGUGGGGAAUAUUGGACAAUGGGCGCAAGCCUGAUCCAGCCAUGCCGCGUGUGUGAAGAAGGCC